ensembl:lncRNA
UAAGUUCAUCAGCUAACUGUCUUUCUCAGGUCAAUAAGUUCACCAGCUAACUGUCUUUCUCAGGUCAAUAAGUUCAUCAGCUAACUGUCUUUCUCAGGUCAAUAAGUUCACCGGCUAACUGUCUUUCUCAGGUCAAUAAGUUCACCAGCUAACUGUCUUUCUCAGGUCAAUAAGUUCAUCGGCUAACUGUCUUUCUCAGGUCAAUAAGUUCAUCGGCUAACUGUCUUUCUCAAGUCAAUAAGUUCAUCGGCUAACUGUCUUUCUCAGGUCAAUAAGUUCAUCGGCUAACUGUCUUUGUCAGGUCAAUAAGUUGACCGGCUAACUGUCUUUCUCAGGUCAAUAAGUUCAUCAGCUAACUGUCUUUCUCAUGUCAAUAAGUUCAUCAGCUAACUGUCUUUCUCAGGUCAAUAAGUUCAUCAGCUAACUGUCUUUCUCAGGUCAAUAAGUUCAUCAGCUAACUGUCUUUCUCAGGUCAAUAAGUUCACCAGCUAACUGUCUUUCUCAGGUCAAUAAGUUCACCAGCUAACUGUCUUUCUCAGGUCAAUAAGUUCAUCGGCUAACUGUCUUUCUCAGGUCAAUAAGUU